AGAAAAGCAUAAGAAAAAACAAGAUAUAGUGGAGCAAUUAUUCAAGAUGCAAAUAAAAGAUAUGGACAAGGUCAAUAUGGAAGAGGUCGUGGUCGUGGACGAGGUCGAGGCUAUGGAUGUGGACGAGGAGGUUUCAACAACAAUUAAGAAAGAAGAGAAUACCCAAGUCGUGGGAGAGGCAACCAAGGUGCAAGGUACGAUAAAUCUC
rnacentral:lncRNA from 1 species